UACGAAGGGGGCUAGCGUUGCUCGGAAUUACUGGGCGUAAAGGGUGCGUAGGCGGGUCUUUAAGUCAGAGGUGAAAUCCUGGAGCUCAACUCCAGAACUGCCUUUGAUACUGAGGAUCUUGGGUAUGGGAGAGGUGAGUGGAACUGCGAGUGUAGAGGUGAAAUCGUAGAUAUUCGCAAGAACACCAGUGGCGAAGGCGGCUCACUGGCCCAUUACUGACGCUGAGGCACGAAAGCGUGGGGAGCAAACAGGG
rnacentral:rRNA from 1 species